rnacentral:lncRNA from 1 species
UCGCUGGAAGUUGCUAGGACCUCUGGACUGCAGUCUCCCAUCUCUUGCUGACCUCUUGUUGACCUCUGCAGAAUCCUGGUUGGUGGGAGCUUGUUAGUUCCUUGUUCCUUACCCGGACCUCCUGUGGUAAGUGUUUUCUCUCCUCUGCGGCCUGGUAAGGGUGGGUGGGCAUUGGCAUCCCAAAGGUGGCUAGAAGUCAAUGAUUUCGGCAGGCUUGUGAAUAGAUAUGGGAGAAGGCAAUGGCACCCCACUCCAGUACUCUUGCCUGGAAAAUCUCAUGGACGGAAGAGCCUGGUAGGCUGCAGUCCAUGGGGUCGCUCAGAGUCGGGCACGACUGAGCGACUUCACUUUCACAUUUCACUUUCAUGCGUUGGAGGAGGACAUGGCAACCCACUCCAGUGUUCUUGCCUGGAGAACCCCAGGGACUGCGGGGCCUGGUGGGCUGCCGUCCAUGGGGUCACACAGACUCGGACACGACUGAAACGACUUCGCAGCAGCAGCAGCAGCAGCAGCAGCAGCAGCAGCAGUGCAUAGAUAUCAAAAGGGUUUAGAACAGUCAGGUAGGAUCACACAAGUCACCGUGAAGCAAUACUUCUCCACUUAGCCAAAGCUAACAAAAGAUUUCUCUUCUAGGUCAACCUAGAAGAGAUCACGGAAGAGGUAAAGAAACUUAAAAUCCAUUAGCAAAGGCAGUUCAACCUCUCAAGAAACCUUGUGCUAGGCACAACACUCUUUUCUGCGGGUCCACUUUCCCUACAACCUCCUGAUCCCAUUCUGUACCCAUUCCUUUGCUUCUCCCAUCCUGAAACUGCCACCUGGAAGAAAGAACGACGUCGUUUUCCUUCAGAAAAUGCGAUUUCAUGCCACAUACCUUCUUUUAAUACCAAGUCAUACAUUUCCCUUCAGCAACCAAGAACUGACUUUUAUAUUGGCAUUCGACAGAUUGGUGAACAUACCUAUCAGUGAUAGUAGCGCCCCUCCCCUCCCCCGCACGCACGCACGCACACACACACACACACACACACACACACACACCACACCCAAGAUCAGAACCAAACCAAACAAAACAAAAAACCAAGCUCCAAGUUUUUUGCAAAUUUAGGUCUUAAUAUUGAAGGCCUGUGUUCCUUCCACUGUGGCAUUGUACGAAGAAAUGUGCGGGGUUUUUUUUUUUUUAAUUUGCUUUUUGUGUUUCUUUUUUUUUUAGAAAAGAUUCCGAAAAAUGAGGGAAACAGGAAGCCCAGAGGUGCCCCUGUAGUUUGGCGAAGGCCUUAGGAGGUCACUUGGAAAUGCCGCUGUCUGUGAGGGGGGGAGGGGGCACAUGUGCACAGAGCUGUGCAGGCUUGUCCUUUGCAUGGAUGUUCUUUGUAGAAAUCCACCUCGGAGCCAUCUCCUGAUGUGUAAGAAUUUCCCAGACAAACCUUGAGCUAAGCAAUGCGUUUUUUCCUUAGGAAAUGUUGGUCUUCAGCGAUGUUCAAAGCCUGUGUAUUUCCGCUAGACUCUGGCUUCAGGUCGGUUCCCCCAAAAGGCUCAGAAGUGACCUGAACCAAACAGUAAGUUUUCCUCCUACCUUGUUC